UUGAAUUUGGCUGGUGUUAUGAUUUGUCUGUUGGGCUUGGUGUACGAGUCCAUGUUGCAAAAAAGACGCGUUCUUUAGAUGGCUUCCACGGGCAUCAAAUGGUCAUAACUCACAAGUCCGAACCAGAUCUGCAAGUCUUUGGUGUUUGGGUUCGACGGCUCAGUGGCAGAAUCACAGAGAGAAUAGCAAUAAUCGGUCAUAUACGUGGAAGCUUGUGAUAUACGGGGAAGCAUGUUUGAGGGUAUGAUGCCUAAGGAUUUGAAGAUUUAUGUCACAACUGCAUCCAAUGCACAAGAGAAUAGUUGGGGAACUUAUUGUCUUGGAAUGGAUCCUUCUCCACCUCCAGAGUACAUCAUUUGCCUAGGGGAUUUGUACAGUGUUGCUUGGAUGGAAGAUAAGUACUAAAUAUAGUGUUCUUUUGUAAUCAACCCAUAUACCAUGUAUAAUAUUCUAAUCCAAAUGUUAUGACACUGGGAGGAUUCAAAUUGGGAGGAUUCAAACUCAUCUAUGACCUCCUUAUUACUCCAAAUGUUCUUUUUUCUCUUUCUUUGUUUCACACUUGCACUCGCCAGUUGACUUUUUGUUUUCACUAAAGCUUUUUAAGUUGUUGUGCACCUCACUCUAUUUGAUCAA